CUCUACCUCUAUUUUUCACAAAACCUUCGUAAGGAAAGAAGACUCUUUGUAAAACUUGAAGCAUUUUGGAAACGAGCUGUUCUAUCCUACUUAAGAACAGUUCCUGCUGAGGACGCUGACCCUGUUUUCCAAGAGGAGACGGGAAAGACUGGAUGACCUCUGAGGUCCCCUCAACCUUUGAGAUUCUGUGAUUUUGUGAAACUGAGCUUGAGCCUCCCCUAGUAACACCAAGACCUUUAAACUCAGCAUCUUUUAUCUGCCUCCCCUUUGCUGUUAUUUAUAACUGCUUAAAGGGCCCCUCGGAGCCCCAGGGAAGAGGCAGGAUCACGGCUUGACGGGGCUAUGAAUCUUGCGUUCCUUCCUGAUGUCCUCCUGCAUCUCCGGGACUACCCCGGAAAGAGUCCCCGCUUCCCCUGGGAGCAGAAACACCAAGCCAAGGUUUUCUUGGGCAGCUUUCCCCAGCUUCAUCUGACAUUGAAUUUUUCACCUUCCUCUUGGGGGUCUGCAGAAGGUGUUUGCAGAAUUGAAUGGAAUAGUCUCUGGAAGGAGAUGUUGCCUGAUGAGACUGACUGUCUCAGAUGAGAAGAUGACUGAUGGAUGCCCAGACGGGCAGGGAAUCAAGCAGUGCCAGUGGGCUCAGCUGCCAGUUGCUCAAAUGGCUGACUUCUUAUUGCAACACCCCCUCUGCAAUUUUAGAGGAAUAUUGACAUUGUCACUAUUGCCAGUCCUGCAAUUUAUUAUUUACAUCCUCAUUCCAUCCAAAGUUUCCUGAUUGCUCUAGUAAUAAUGAAAAAAUUAGCUCUUCAAAGGUUUCCUCACAGCAAACCUAUGAAAAAGUAGGACAAGUAUUGUGAUCCCCAUUUUACACACAAGGAAACUGAGGUUCUGAGAGGAAAGUGACUUGUCAAGGAAAAUCCAGUUGGGAGGAGUCAGUGCUUCAAUUUCAGAUCCAGGUUUCUUACUUCAAGACCAGCGUGUGUCCCCAAAACUAUCCAGAUCCUCUGCCAUAUCCAGCAUUUCUUUUUAUAAUUGAAGGCUAUUUGGUCAUUCUUCCAUCAUAGCAGUGAAGUUCAUGGGGACAUUGGAUUAACCUCUACUCUGUCUUAAGAGGCUUGCAAGAUUUUGAACACUGGCCAGACAUGGUAGAUCUGAUGCUGCUGGUUCAAUUCCGUAGGUCUGGCUGCUAUUCUCUGUAUCCAUAUUUAAGGAAGAAAGUCUUUUAGCUUUGGUUCCCAAAUUCCAACUGGGACAUUCAGCUAAUCAACUUUAUCUGGCUGCCAAAAUUAAAUUAAAUUCAACACACUUUUAUUUUUUUUAAAGUGGUUUUAUUGUUGCCUUUGAUUUUUGCACUAAUUAUUUAUUUCCCUUUAACUCUUUUCUCUCCUUUCCCACCCCCCUUCCUCACAUAUAUUGAGCCUUUCUUGGUAACAAAACAAAACAUUUAAACAAAGCCAAAUGACAAAAUGACCUCAUCUGACCACAAAUACCACAUUUCUCAUUACUAGCCCCUACCUCUCUACUGACAGGAGGAAGGUAUGUUUCCUUAUUAGUUUUCCAGGGAAAAGAUCGUUCAUUACAGUUCAUCAAAGUUUAUUUACUUUUCAUUUAUCAUCUACAUUUUUGUAGGCAUCAAAUAUUGUUAUCUCGGUUUAACUUUCUUUACAUUACUUCACAAAAAUCUUCCCAUGUUUCUUUGAAUUCCUUUAUAUUCAUUACUUCUUAACAUGCAAUAAUAUUAUGCUUUUAUGCUACCGUUUGUUCAGUCUUUCUCCAACCAAUGGCACUUAUUUUUUUUCCAGUUUUGUUUUUGUUGGGUGAUUUCCCCCCCCUCCCCCAUUCCAAAAAAGUACAGAUAGGAAUAGGUUGUAAUACGUAAGACCUUUCUUUUCCUUUUCCUCUCAUUUUAAACUUUUAUAUUUUAUUGGCACUUUAAACAUUGUUUUCUUUUCCAAAUAUAUUCCUCUCCCUCCCCUAUCCAGAAAGCUCAUUCCUUGUAAAAAGAAAGAGAAAGAACAAAGUAAAAGAGAGAAGAGGGAGAGAUUAAUCACACACAAUUUUAUAGAUUAAUCAUGUAUACAAUGUUCCACAAGCAAAAUUCUGCAUAUACCUAUCCCAAAUUCCCCAUGACUGAAAGGAGCUACAUUUUCUCUUCUCUUGAAACUUUAUUUAUUUUAAGAAAAGCAUUCCCAUCAACAGUCCACAGUGUUCAAGGCACUAAACUCCAGUGAAGAUACAAGUCAUUGAGUGUAUCACUUGGCUUUAACUGUUUUUCUUUGUUAUAAAGAAAGAUUCAAUAUAUUUGUCUGGUAUAUAGUAAUUGAUUAAUAAACAGUUGUCAUUUGUCUGAAUAAGAAAAAUAGGGUAACCUUUCCAAAGACCUCUCUCAGCAUUUGGUCUGCAUCUAUUUAAUAGCUUCGGCAUGUAAUAUUGUGUAUUAUAAUUUUCUGUGUUUUUGUCUUUUUUUUUUUCCUUUUCCU
rnacentral:lncRNA from 1 species